rnacentral:rRNA from 1 species
GUAGAAUACCAACCUUGGGGUCGGGGAUAGCCGCGGGAAACUGCGGGUAAUACCCGAUAACAUCUCCGGAUCAAAGGUGUGAUUCCGCCCUUAGACGGGUCUGCGUCCUAUUAGCUUGUUGGUAGGGUAACGGCCUACCAAGGCGAUGAUGGGUAGCGGGUGUGAGAGCACGACCCGCGUCAUUGGGACUGAGACACUGCCCAGACACCUACGGGUGGCUGCAGUCGAGGAUCUUCGGCAAUGGGCGCAAGCCUGACCGAGCGACGCCGCGUGUGGGAUGAAGGCCUUCGGGUUGUAAACCACUGUCAGUGGGGAGGAAAUUCGACGGGGGUUCUCCCCCGUGAUUGACCUAUCCGCAGAGGAAGGGUGGGCUAAGCUCGUGCCAGCAGCCGCGGUAAGACGAGCCACCCAAACGUUAUUCGGAAUUACUGGGCUUAAAGGGUGCGUAGGCGGUGCAGCAAGUCGGGAGUGAAAAUACCCCAGCUUAACUGAGGAAUUGCUUUCGAUACUGCUGUGCUU